GCCUUCGUGGUGUGUGGUCAGCACGUUCGACUCGUAACCGAGAGGUCCGUGGUUCGAUUCCCGGCGAAGGCG
rnacentral:tRNA from 1 species